rnacentral:rRNA from 1 species
UAGUCCACGCCGUAAACGAUGAGUACUAGUUAUAGGGCACGAUAGUGUUCUGUGACGUAGCUAACGCAUUAAGUACUCCGCCUGGGGAUUACGGUCGCAAGACUAAAAACUCAAAGGAAUUGACGGGGGCCCGCACAAGCGGUGGAUUAUGUGGUUUAAUUCGAAGAAACGCGCAAAACCUUACCCGGGUUUGAAAUCCUGAGAAUCUACCAGAGAUGGUGGAGUGUCCUUCGGGAGACUCAGAGACAGGUGCUGCAUGGCUGUCGUCAGCUCGUGUUGUGAAAUGUUGGGUUAAGUCUCGCAACGAGCGCAACCCCUAUCUUUAGUUGCCAGCAUUCAGUUGGGCACUCUAGAGAGACUGCCUAGGUUAACUAGGAGGAAGGUGGGGAGUGACGUCAAGUCCUCAUGGCCCUUAUAUCCGGGGCUACACACGUAAUACAAUGGACGGUACAGAGGGAUGCGACCUUGUGAAAGUGAGCAAAUCUCAAAAAACCGUUCUACAGUCCGGAUUGAAGUCUGCAACUCG